AGUUUGAUCAGUGGCUCAAGGUAUGAACGCUAGCGGCAGGCCUAAUACAUGCAAGACGAACGGUAAGUUGAGUAGCAAUACUUAGCCAAGAGUGUCGUACGGGUGCGUAACACGUAUGCAACCUACCCUAUACAGGAGGAUAGCCUAGGGAAACCUGGAUUAACCCUUCAUAGUAUUAUUGGAUGGCAUCAUUUGAUAAUUAAAACUGAGGUGGUAUAGGAUGGGCAUGCGUCUGAUUAGUUAGUUGGCGGGGUAAUGGCCCACCAAGACGAUGAUCAGUAGGGGUUCUGAGAGGAAGGUCCCCCACACUGGCACUGAGAUACGGGCCAGACUCCUACGGGAGGCAGCAGUAGGGAAUAUUGGUCAAUGGAUGCAAGUCUGAACCAGCCAUGCCGCGUGCAGGAAGAAGGCCUUCUGGGUUGUAAACUGCUUUUGCCAGGGGAUAAAAUUUCCAUGCGUGGAAAACUGAAGGUACCUGGUGAAUAAGCCACGGCUAACUACGUG
rnacentral:rRNA from 1 species